CACAGAUGACACCCUGCCUCACAGGAGAUCAAAGACUCAGCACUGACCAGGAAAAAAAAAUCAGAGACAAAUCCUUCAUAUACGGUUAGACAGAGGAAAAAAGACAUAUGAAACAAGAGAGCACACAAAGACCUGGAGAAAAGCAUAAAGACAAGAACCUUUAAGGUUUAAGGUCCAGUUAAUGUUGGGGAUCUGUGCUAGGAGGGCUGAGCUUCUGAUCCAGCUCCUAGGACUCCACUCCAUUGACUUCAUCUACCUGCUUCCAGUUUCCUGUGAUUUCCUUAUGAAGACAACUUCUAUGCAUUUACUUACCCGGAAGCUCACCUACACAUUCGGCAUCUAGACUCUGGUGAAACAUAGCCAUGGCCCCUUCAAUGACUCUUUGCCAUCCCGACUUUGAGGGCAAGUCUGUGUGUUCUCCCAGGAACCUUGGCUACUGCUGCCUUCAAAAACAAAAAGUGGUUCCGUGGCUGCCAAGGACUAGGUGUCAUUUAAAUCAAUCAGCCAAUGACAUUUAUUGAAGGCUUACUUCAUACAGAAC